GCGCUCGCUUCGGCAGCACAUAUACUAAAAUUGGAACGAUACAGAGAAGAUUAGCGUGUCCCCUGCGCAAGGAUGACACACAAAUUUGUGAAGCGUUCCAUAUUAAA
ensembl:snRNA U6 U6 spliceosomal RNA